AUCCACUGACUCACACCUGCCUCUCUGCUUGUCCAGAGAGGUACAGAGAAGUAAUGACUUGGACUUGAGGAAGGCCCUUGUAGGACAUGUGAAUGCCAGUGCUCAUGGAGAAAGGUGGAGGAAGAGAGCCAGAGUGCAGUUCACCUCUGGGAGAGCAGACCAGAGUGGCUUCCGUGGGCACAUGCUGGAUUGAAGUGAGAAGACGUGACUACUAAAGUUGAGGCCCCAAGUCUCAGCUUCUUCCCCCUCCAAAGCAUGAGUGGAGGAUUCACUUAAGGCCACUUUGAAGCCCAUAUUGGAGGAGCAUUACUCACUCUGAGGAUCCUGGCAUAGGCAGAUGCAUCACUUGUAUUGAAGUAUAUUAUCUGCUGUGAUAUUUAUGAUGAAAUGAGUUUGCCAGCCAUCGUCUAUCAGGGGAUCAAACAUAGGCACCUGCCUGUCCAAGGGGGUCUAAGUCACAGUACAGAAGUGGUUUGCAAAGGCUGGUGGGAUGGUGUGGCAGGCCUGUGGAGUUGAAUAAAAAUCCUGAUGUCCUUCCUGGCAUGAAGAAUGGAGCUGCCAAGCUGCCCCCAGGAGAAGCGUGCUGCCUAUGCAUCUCACUGGACUUCUGUGUACAGAAGAAAUAUUGGUGGUUUGACCAAACGCUCGGGCUCCCCACGACUCCCGUUGUUAUAUGGGAAAGAACAAGGUCUGGCCCACCUCUCUAAACCUUUAUAAAGGAGCCAGCUGGUGCCUGCCACUUUGUUGCCCACUGGAGAAGACUGGCUGCAUGCAUGUCAUGCACCAUAUCCCAGCAGCAAAGGCCCUGAUUUUUUUUUUUUAUCAGCUGUAGUUCAUUUGUAAAUUAUUAACCUCUCAAGAGCCAAUAUUUGCUCAGGGCCUUCCAGUCCAUCUCAAGUGUCGAUACUGUGCUUGGGAGAUUGCGGGGGAGGAUGGUGCAGGGAGCUCGGUCUGACACGCUGUUGUUGGGGAGGAAAAUGCUCUUUGUCUAGCAAGAGAGGAGGAUCUGACUCAGCAGCAGUAGAACCUCAGGCCAGCCCUUUUCCCACCUGGGGCUGAGGAGACUCAGCCAUGUGAGAGUCCACAUAGAAGCAGGGGUCCUCAGUGCUCUCUAACCACAUUGAGAGUCUACUCUGCCCCAAACCACUCCACUAUGCCAGGCUGAGGCUUUUUAGGCCAAUAUAUAUCUAAGGAUAAAAUGAAGGGAGUUCUGGAUGAUGCAUUAAGAACACUCCUGAGACAUUAGAGCCUUGCUUUGGAUUUGAAGAGGGGAACUUUACUUGUCACCCUGGGUGAAGUCAAUUCCUCUGUGAAUCUCCCCAGUGAGACUGUGGGUACCUUAGGAGAAGAGACAGUGACUUAUUCAUCUCAGAAUCCUCAGACUAGAAUAAGGCCUGGGAUUUAUCAGGCAUUCAGUAAAUUCUUGCUGAAUGAGCAAUUAACUUGAGGUCUUCAGGGUUCCUGGGACCAAAGAGUUGGCCUUUAUAAAAGCACAUUCGUAAUUCAAUCUGUACAAGUAGUACAAUUCAGUAUGGUAUGUUACAAGUCAGUUAUUGAAUAUUACACAUUGCCACAAUGAUCUGUCAGUAAUAAAGACACAGUCCAGAAAAUAUUCUCUCUCGUAGGUCACAACAGUUGACCAGUUGACUCCAAUGAUCUCAUUAAAUAGCUUGAGGUUGAAAAUAACCUAGUGUUUCUCUUACCCAAUACACUAUUUGCUGAUUGAACAACAUAAAGUUUCCAAAAGUGGAAAGGGCAUUAUGAGGAAAGGUAUUAAAAUAAAGCUAUCAUCUUAACUUUUAAUAAAACUGUGUACAAUACUGAAGAUACUUUAUAGCAAGAUGAAAAAAUUAGAGUCCUUGGUGUUGUGCAGAUGAAUUCUAGUCCCAGCAUUAUUCCAUAAUAUGUACCUUGGGCAAAUUAACAACUCUGAGACUCAGUUUUCUCAUCUUUAAAAUGGGGAUACUCUAUCUACCUCUUAAAGUUAUUGUGAGGACUGAAUGAGUUAAUACUUGGAGAGGACUCAGAGCAGGGCAUAGUUAAGGACUCAGUAAGAGCUAACUUUACUAACAUCGCUACCAUCACAAAUAAUAAGUAAGAAAACGUACCUUGAGGAUCUUGCAUAGUACCUGGCAUAAAAUAGGCUCUUAAGAGAUGAAAGCCAAUUAGUACUAGUAAUUAGAGUUUAAAAUGAUAAGAUUUUAAGGCAUGUAGAAAACAAGAAUAUCUUGUGUUUCUGGCAACCAAAGUUAUUCUAUUCCAGGCCAUGGGGAUCUCCUAUUUCUCCAGAAAUAUGGAGGCUACAAGAGAGAACUAACAUUUAUUGGGCACUUACAUUGUACUAGUUACUGUGCUAGGGGCUUUAAAAACAGUUUUUCCAUUUAAGCAAAUAAUCCUAAUAUUUUAGAUAAUUUACCUGAAACCCACCGAGAUGACGUAUUUCUCCAAUGGUUACAUUAGCUAAUACUGGUAGGACUAAGAUUUCAACCCAGAUAUGUUUGGACUCUAUAGCCUGUAUGCUUUCCACUUUUCAGAAACUUAUAAACAAAACAGAGCAAAAACUUUCUGGAACUCUCUGGAGCCCUUGGCUGUUCUCUGGACCUUCCUUUGCUGUGUCUUGGGGCAGGCACAUCUUGGCUUAGGCUGAGCUUUUCUAUUUGCCAAAAGAGUCAUCUCAGAGGGCACAGCCUGGAGUGCAGCUCAACAAACAUAUGUGUAACAGCCGAGUGCCACCACGUUAAGAACUGGACUUACAAGAUGGAUAGGACCUGGUGGCAGCUGUCCUUGAGGAAGCCAGAGCCUGGAGAGACAGAUCUCAUGUUAUAGCAGAGUACCAAUAUUCUGCAGAAAACCAAAACCUCACCUGCAUUCCUACUCCUAUCAUGAUGUUCUGCCCCCCGGGACCCUUGUUUAUGCUGGUCUCUCCUUUUGAAAGAACGUUACCCUUUUCUUCACCCAGCAAAUUCUUACUCAGACUUCAAGACUCAGUUCAGAGUCUGGGGAUGAAUAUUCUACAAAUGGCCCCCAGGAUUGUCAUGGUCCUCACGGCAGGUGAUUUGCUCUUGAACAAUUAACAGAGUGAAGGCUGUGUUCCAUCUCCUCACAGUCUCCCGCUGGGCAUCCUUGGGAGCACAGGAGGAGAAAGGCUUUCUUCUUGAUCCUAUUACUGCUGCCCAGCAUCAAGAAGGAUUAAUUAACCCACCAGGUUUUGCUUCAUUACGAGGAAAAAAGAAAAGCCAGUGACAGUGGAAUUCAAACAUUGAACAGGCAAAGGAAUCAGUGCUCAAGCACCUUAUGAACAUUUCGAAGACUUAGCUGGGCGGUGUGGCGCAAUGUAAAGUAGGGUGACUUGGUGCAAGUUACACACCCCUGCAGCCCUGUUUCUUCAUCCUCAGAGUUCACACUUCAAUUCUACAAAUUGAUGGCCUAUUCUGAGCUAAGCCCCGCCCACUCUGAACUAAGCCCCGCCUACUUUGAUUCCCUACUCUGAGCUAAGGAACAGUCUUUCAUCCCCAUGAAAGCUUUCUGUCUAGAAGGAACUAAAGAGCAUAAUUAUACUUAUUUUCCAGUGCUGUUGUUAGAAUUAAUUAAAUGUGGUAUAGCAUGUGAAAGUACUCUGUAACUAAACAUUGUAUAAAUGUUAAUUAUUCUCAUUUUCAUAUUUGAUAUUCAGGCAUUCAAACAAUUAUUGAGCACUUAUUAGGGCAAAGAACUAUACUUGCAGCUAACAGUUACGUGAAAGAAUUCGAAGACAUUGUUUUUGCUGUUUAGGAAGGUCCCACAUGGCAAAGCAAUUAAGACACACACAUGAAAUAAUUAAACAACAAAGUUGGGCCUAAAGAAGUUUCAUCUCACGUGCUAAUCAUGGCUGGCUGGCUAUGGCUAUCUAGAGUAUUAUGCUGAAAAUGAUUCUGAAGCUCUUUCUGGGCUCAAUUGAAAAGGAUGAUCUGGUGGAUUAGCAAUGAAUGCCAUGGGCAUAAGUUGGGCAUGUAGUGGUACGUGGACUAGUUGUUUAUAGUGCCUAAUACAAGGUAGCAAACAUAAUGAUAAAAGUAACUGUUAUUGAAAUUCAGCCAAGAUUGGUAUCAGUGUAGGCUUGUAUGACUGACAAAGAAUGUAGAGGAGCUAAAGAGUAAGCUUGACCUUGAAUUACGAGUAGGACUUCAGUGAAGAUAGGAGGCUAUUUCAGAAUGCAGGGCAUCUGGUAGGGAGUAGUGGAUGGUGGAGAGUAAGGAACUCAGUACUUGAUUCAAAGCCUGGGUCUCCCAGAAGUGAGCUGUGUGGCUUGGGCCACUUUAUCUCCUGAGGUCUCAGAGUUUUCAUGUAUAAAAUUGUAGAACUUGUCUUGAUGGUUUUGAACAUUCUUUCUAAUUCUGCACAACAGUCCAUUUGUGGGUUAGAUGAGCCUUUACCAAACUGUAUUUCAUGGAACAAUG
rnacentral:lncRNA from 1 species